rnacentral:rRNA from 1 species
UACGUAGGGUGCAGGCGUUAUUCGGAAUUACUGGGCGUAAAGCGUGCGUAGGCGGUUUCUUAAGUCAGAUGUGAAAGCCCCGGGCUUAACCUGGGAACUGCGUUUGAAACUGGGAGACUUGAGUGUGGCAGAGGGGGGUGGAAUUCCACGUGUAGCAGUGAAAUGCGUAGAUAUGCGGAGGAACACCGAUGGCGAAGGCAAUCCCCUGGGCCUGCACUGACGCUCAUGCACGAAAGCGUGGGGAGCAAACAGG